GGGGGUAUAGCUCAGCUGGGAGAGCAGCAGACUGAAGUCCAUUUUUAGCUCCAUGUAGUACUCCUUCUGAACGUCCCGCGUUCGAUCCGCGGUACCCCCA